GACGAACGCUGGCGGCGUGCCUAAUACAUGCAAGUCGAGCGGACAGAUGGGAGCUUGCUCCCUGAUGUUAGCGGCGGACGGGUGAGUAACACGUGGGUAACCUGCCUGUAAGACUGGGAUAACUCCGGGAAACCGGGGCUAAUACCGGAUGCUUGUUUGAACCGCAUGGUUCAAACAUAAAAGGUGGCUUCGGCUACCACUUACAGAUGGACCCGCGGCGCAUUAGCUAGUUGGUGAGGUAAUGGCUCACCAAGGCAACGAUGCGUAGCCGACCUGAGAGGGUGAUCGGCCACACUGGGACUGAGACACGGCCCAGACUCCUACGGGAGGCAGCAGUAGGGAAUCUUCCGCAAUGGACGAAAGUCUGACGGAGCAACGCCGCGUGAGUGAUGAAGGUUUUCGGAUCGUAAAGCUCUGUUGUUAGGGAAGAACAAGUGCCGUUCAAAUAGGGCGGCACCUUGACGGUACCUAACCAGAAAGCCACGGCUAACUACGUGCCAGCAGCCGCGGUAAUACGUAGGUGGCAAGCGUUGUCCGGAAUUAUUGGGCGUAAAGGGCUCGCAGGCGGUUUCUUAAGUCUGAUGUGAAAGCCCCCGGCUCAACCGGGGAGGGUCAUUGGAAACUGGGGAACUUGAGUGCAGAAGAGGAGAGUGGAAUUCCACGUGUAGCGGUGAAAUGCGUAGAGAUGUGGAGGAACACCAGUGGCGAAGGCGACUCUCUGGUCUGUAACUGACGCUGAGGAGCGAAAGCGUGGGGAGCGAACAGGAUUAGAUACCCUGGUAGUCCACGCCGUAAACGAUGAGUGCUAAGUGUUAGGGGGUUUCCGCCCCUUAGUGCUGCAGCUAACGCAUUAAGCACUCCGCCUGGGGAGUACGGUCGCAAGACUGAAACUCAAA
rnacentral:rRNA from 1 species